GACGAACGCUGGCGGCGUGCUUAACGCAUGCAAGUCGAACGGAAAGGCCCUGCUUGCAGGGUACUCGAGUGGCGAACGGGUGAGUAACACGUGGGUGAUCUGCCCUGCACUUCGGGAUAAGCCUGGGAAACUGGGUCUAAUACCGGAUAGGAGCCAUUUUUAGUGUGAUGGUUGGAAAGUUUUUUCGGUGUAGGAUGAGCUCGCGGCCUAUCAGCUUGUUGGUGGGGUAAUGGCCUACCAAGGCGGCGACGGGUAGCCGGCCUGAGAGGGUGGACGGCCACAUUGGGACUGAGAUACGGCCCAGACUCCUACGGGAGGCAGCAGUGGGGAAUAUUGCACAAUGGGCGCAAGCCUGAUGCAGCGACGCCGCGUGGGGGAUGACGGCCUUCGGGUUGUAAACUCCUUUCGCUAGGGACGAAGCUUUUUGUGAUGGUACCUAGAGAAGAAGCACCGGCUAACUACGUG
rnacentral:rRNA from 1 species